rnacentral:rRNA from 1 species
GACGAACGCUGGCGGCGCGCUUAACACAUGCAAGUCGAACGGAAAGGCCUGCUUUCCUUUGUGGAUUGCGGGUACUCGAGUGGCGAACGGGUGAGUAACACGUGAUUGAUCUGCCCCCAACUUGGGUAUAAGCCUGGGAAACUGGGUCUAAUUCCCGAUCGGACUGCAGGGUGCUGCCUGUGUUGGAAAACGAUUUUCUAGUGGGUGGCGAUGAGCGCGCGGCCUAUCAGCUUGUUGGUGGGGUAAUGGCCUACCAAGGCGGCGACGGGUAGCCGGCCUGGGAGGGGGGACGGUGACAUUGGGACAGAGACAAGGCCCAGACGCCUGCGGGAGGCAGGAGUGGGGAAUAUUGCACAAUGAGCGGGAGCCUGAUGCAGCGACGCCGCGUGGGGGAUGACGGCCUUCGGGUUGUAAACUCCUUGCGACCGCGAGGAAGCCACCUGGUUGGAAGGGUGGUGACGGUAGUGGUAGAAGAAGCACCGGCUAACUACGUG